GAUGCCCAUAAAGACUCCUACGGGAGGCAGCAGUAGGGAAUCUUCCGCAAUGGACGAAAGUCUGACGGAGCAACGCCGCGUGAGUGAUGAAGGCUUUCGGGUCGUAAAACUCUGUUGUGCCUAGGGAAGAACAAGUGCUAGUUGAAUAAGCUGGCACCUUGACGGUACCUAACCAGAAAGCCACCGACGGCUAACUACGUGCCAGCAGCCGCGGUAAUACGUAGGUGGCAAGCGUUCCCGGGAUCCGGAAUUAUUGGGCGUAAAGCGCGCGCAGGUGGUUUCUUAAGUCUGAUGUGAAAGCCCACGGCUCAACCGUGCGGGAGGGUCAUUGGAAACUGGGAGACUUGAGUGCAGAAUUAGAGGAAAGUGGAAUUCCAUGUGUAGCGGUGAAAUGCGUAGAGAUAUGGAGGGGAACACCAGUGGCGAAGGCGACUUUCUGGUCUGUAACUGACACUGAGGCGCGAAAGCGUGGGGAGCAAACAGGAUUAGAUACCCUGGUAGUCCACUUGGCAAACGAUGAGUGCUAAGUGUUAGAGGGUUUCCGCCCUUUAGUGCUGAAGUUAACGCAUUAAGCCAAGCGCCUGGGGAGUACGGCCGCAAGGCUGAAACUCAAAGGAAUUGACGGGGGCCCGCACAAGCGGUGGAGCAUGUGGUUUAAUCGAAGCAACGCGAAGAACCUUACCAGGUCUUGACAUCCUCUGAAAACCCUAGAGAUAGGGCUUCUCCUUCGGGAGCAGAGUGACAGGUGGUGCAUGGUUGUCGUCAGCUCGUGUCGUGAGAUGUUGGGUUAAGUCCCGCAACGAGCGCAACCCUUGAUCUUAGUUGCCAUCAUUAAGUUGGGCACUCUAAGGUGACUGCCGGUGACAAACCGGAGGAAGGUGGGGAUGACGAAUCAAAUCAUCAUGCCCCUUAUGACCUGGGCUACACACGUGCUACAAUGGACGGUACAAAGAGCUGCAAG
rnacentral:rRNA from 1 species